CUUUGUUAAAUUAAGGGAUUAAUUCGUGAAAUUAAUUGCUUUUAGAUCCCACAGGUUCGGGAUAUAAAAUAACUUUGACUCGUUAUCAAUGCAAGCAUAUAGGAUCGAUUUUGUUGAUUAUAGUUCUAAGUAUAAUAGGAGGGACAGCCCAGGAAGGGCGAUUCGCCUGAUAAGGGUGAUUCGUCUGAGUUAAUCACUUAUUAUGAAUAUUUUAUACUUAGGUGUCUUGACCAAAUUACGUGCCAGCAGUCGCGGCAAUACGUAGAAGACUAGUGUUGUUCAUCUUAAACAGGUUUAUUGGGUACCUAGACGGUGAUUAUAGUCCACAACGGGGUACGUUUUCACUAGAGUUAUAUAUGAAAAGGUGAGAAUUUAAGGUGGAGAGUUGCAAUUUUAUGAUACUUUAAGGACUGACAGGGGCGAAAGCAAUCUUUUAUCUAAUAACUGACGUUGAGGGACGAAGGCUUGGGGAGCGAAUAGGAUUAGAGACCCUAGUAGUCCAAGCAGAAAAUUAUGAAUGCUAUAGGUUAGAAGUAUUUAAUCUAUAAAUGAAAGUGGAAGCAUUUCAUCUCAAGAGUAAUGCGGCAACGCUGGAACUGAAAUCAUUAGACCGCG
rnacentral:rRNA from 1 species